rnacentral:tRNA from 2 species
GCCCGGGUAGCUCAGUCGGUAGAGCAGCUCACUCGUAAUGAGCAGGUCAGGGGUUCGAAUCCCCUCUCGGGCU